CACCUUGAAAUCCAAGUGUACCCAUCCACCACCCGCAGCCGCCAGCACCUCUCUCCUCAGCCACGCGGGUCCGCCAGCCCCGAAUCGAGCCCACCUGGGCGUGGAACCUCGCCGCCGCCCGUGGUCCCCAUUGCCCGAGCCCCGCUCUAGCUGCUGCCCUACACCCGAUUCUCCCCGAGCAUCUGCCUCGCCGGACCAUCGCGAGUGGGUCGCGGGACGCCGCCCCUCUGGGUCGCCGGACCUCCCUUGACCUGUCCUCUCUUCCCUUCUAUUCCUUCUCCCUCUCUUUAAUCUCUCAUCUCCCUCCCCAUGGCUAGGAACAGCCAUGCAUCCGCAGCCGCCAUGGAGUCCGCCACCGCCCAUUAUGCACCGCGGAUGCCCGGAUCUGGUGCAGGACGGCCAGAUGUGCAUGUUCCCGGCCUCGCCGUACCCUACUGUUGCCUUGCCGCAUCGUCUCCUUCCGGUGAAGCCGCCUUGACUGCCGGCCAGCUCCCUGUGCCAAGCGCGCGUUGACCGAGCACUCACUCGAUUUGGUUGAGCAACGCUCUUGCACGCGUGGGCCGUCGCGUGAUCUGGCCUAGCCCCAGCACCAUUCUGCCAAGGCCGAGCCGCCACAGCCGGCUUGCCUGCAACAGCGCCAGAUCCGCCGGGCCUCGCCCUUCUGGUGAGCGCCCGAGCACCGCUAAAUUGUGCCCUCGGCAUAGUAUAGUUAUGAUGCUCCCAUGCCGUGUUUCAGCCCUGCUGUAAAUUUGGCCCAAUGCAUGUUUUUUUGAGUCCCACGAAUUUCCUAAUUAACAAGUGCAUUAAUAAUUAUAGAAAAUGCAUGAUUUUAAAAUGUCAAUAACUAAAUAACCGGGCAUUGGAUUUUUUGUAGAUUAAUAAUAUUCAACUUUCACACCUGUUAAAAAAGUUUAAACCUCUCGUUUGCAUUAAUUUGUGCUUUACAUGGUUUUGGAAUUUGCAUGCAUAAUGUGUUCAUCUACCAGCUCAAAUCUCUUUCGCAAGUGCAUUAUGAACUGUUAUUUCAUUCAAUCUUGUGUGGAUGAUUCCAACUAACCCGUAGACCUUUUGCAUGUGGAUCCUUCUGAGAUUUCUUCUAUGUGUUGUCUACUAUGAUGCCAUCCCUAUGGUUACCAUGUAGACUAUCAUGAGUUUGUUCGUUUGUUGCUAUCAAAGUGCUAUCAUGUUGAAACUAUGAAUCUUUUUCGUAAAGUUACAUUUUCUGAAGCUCAUUUUAACCAAACCAUGUCUCUUUUGAAUGUGUGCAAUGAACUGAUUUGUUGUAUGCCAUGCCUAGUUACUGUUUGCAGGGUUAAAAUAAUUCUAAGUCUGAGAAUCUUAUUAUUUUAGAAUGCUAUGUUGUAUUGAUGCUAGCUAUGAUUGUGUGCAUAAUUAGACCUUGCUAGUAUGGAAUGAAAUGAAGUGCGUAAUGCCUACUAACAUGUUGUAAAUUUUCAGGCUAUUAUAUGACCUGUAGCAUGUAUUUUCCUUGUUGUCACUAUGCCCUCAUGACAAAAACUGCACUGUGAAAACUGAUAAUUUCACUAAGUCUGAAACUGUGCUUAAGUAGCCAUUUUGUGAGCUCAUUUUCUAGAGAUCCAUGCUUAUAUUCAAUUUUCCGUUAGGAGAUGAUUGUUGCGCAUCUUGUCAACUACUGCCCCAUAUCUUAUUUGUGCAAUUUAGAAUCCUGUAGGUGGCUGUUUUGGUGUGUAUGAAAUGCCAUGUUGCUGUUUUGGGUAAAUUAUCACUAUAUCUUGUAUUGGAUAUAUUUCUAGGACCAUUGCUUUGUUUUGAACAUGCCAUAUAUGAAAUUUUCUUAGAAUUUCAUGAAGUUUCAUAACAUCUUCCUGCAUCCAUGAUUUAACAUGCUUGUGGGUGCCAUUUGCAUACAUUUUGCAUUCAUGGCAUAUUAUCUUGUGUUGGUCCUAUCUUUUAAAACGUAACUCCAUUUUAGAUUAUCCAUAUAUCUUUUAGUCAUAGUAAAUUUAGGACCACGUGGCACCUCGGUUUUCGGGCCAAGUAAAUAUCCAUAAAGAUAUGUUGUGAUGUCAUCAUUAUUUUCCUCGAUGAUAGGGGAGUGAUGUCAUGGAUCAAACAAAGAAAAGCAUGAGUCCAGAAGCAUUAAGAGUCGUUUUGUAACCCGGAGAAGAGGGAUAUGUGACCAGAAGAAGAUGAGCCGCCAAAUUAAGGUGGUGGAGAUUGACAUGAAUAAAUUCAAAUAAACCUGGAGGCUGUUGUUGGGGAUAUAACCCCAUGAUAUAACCCGCCUUAAUGGGCCGGGUCACCAGAUGUCGACUUAAAGGCGGAACGCUGGAUAGGCAAGUACGUGAAGAGUCAAGGCCGACAGGACGGCUUAUCCACUAAGCCGCCCGGCGGCCCAAUAUAUGAAGACGGUGACGCAGUGCGCAAGAGGUGGAAGGUCGCCCAGAGUUUCCUUGCUCACGAGGCAAGGCGAGUUAGAAGCAUAGCCGAUCACGAAUCGUAUCAUGACUCAGAUCCUUGUAAGCCCAGGGCCUCGACUUGUAUAUAAAGACGAGUCCCUCAGGCUAAUAGACUUAAGUUGUAAUCGAUCAAUAGCUAGGUCAAGAGAAUCUGCUCCCUUGUAAUUCAUCUCCAAGAAGUACACACAAAGAAGGACGUAGGCGUUUACCUUGAA
rnacentral:lncRNA from 1 species